rnacentral:rRNA from 1 species
UACGUAGGGUGCAAGCGUUGUCCGGAAUUAUUGGGCGUAAAGAGCUCGUAGGCGGUCUGUUGCGUCGGCUGUGAAAACCCGGGGCUCAACUCCGGGCUUGCGGUCGAUACGGGCAGGCUAGAGUUCGGUAGGGGAGACUGGAACUCCUGGUGUAGCGGUGAAAUGCGCAGAUAUCUGGAGGAACACCGGUGGCGAAGGCGGCAUCCUGGACCGGUAGUUGACGCUGAGGCG